ACAAGCAAUACUCGAGCAAAAGGGGGAUGUCCGCAGACAACUGUCUGACUAAAGUGUCCGACUCGAGUGACUUUCUACGGUCGAUGGAACUUCGUGGUCCCUUUCCUUUAUUCGUCUUGCACUUAAAAGCGAAAAAGACACCGCUGUGCCGCUGAGAAGAAGAUUGACAAAAGUAUUCCCGCAACUGAACCCCUCACUCGUGUCUCUGCGCUUUUGGGUCAGCGCUUCAACCAGGCGUGACGGCAACGUGACUGAAGACAUCAUUGUCGGCUCUCACAUCGAAGGAGAUGAGGCAUAUUAUGCAACAUAUUCACCCCCGGGCAGAGACGCAGAUUAGUGAGUGUGCCGGGCUGGAAAAGUAGGAAAUGAUUGAGGUUGGCGAAAAGAUAACUGGAAUGUGGAACAGACCUGGACAAUGGAUCAAAACCUAUGCAACCGAACAAAACGGAAAAGGGUCAUGACGUUUUGUACGAAUGCCUCAAGUUCAACAUUUGAAAGAAAAGACUUUGGCACACAGAUAACAAAUCCCCCUGCAAACAAUGCAAAUGUUCAUCGGCCAUGCGUAAGCCUACAGCAAGCUUCCUACAAGAGAAACAAUGAGUCAGUGGUGAGCUAUUCAGACAAAACCUCACUGACAUUCACAUGCUUAACUAAGAUUCAAUCCGAACUACAAGACUGAAAUGAAAUCAUCCCACCGCACUGUCACGUCUGGUGUCCCCCGGGGCUCUGUCCUUGGCCCU